rnacentral:rRNA from 1 species
CCUACGGGCCGCACCAGUGGGGAAUAUUGCACAAUGGGCGCAAGCCUGAUGCAGCCAUGCCGCGUGUAUGAAGAAGGCCUUCGGGUUGUAAAGUACUUUCAGCGGGGAGGAAUGUGUUGUGGUUAAUAACCACAGCAAUUGACGUUACCCGCAGAAGAAGCACCGGCUAACUCCAUGCCAGCAGCCGCGGUAAUACGGAGGGUGCAAGCGUUAAUCGGAAUUACUGGGCGUAAAGCGCACGCAGGCGGUCUGUCAAGUCGGAUGUGAAAUCCCCGGGCUCAACCUGGGAACUGCAUUCGAAACUGGCAGACUAGAGUCUUGUAGAGGGGGGUAGAAUUCCAGGUGUAGCGGUGAAAUGCGUAGAGAUCUGGAGGAAUACCGGUGGCGAAGGCGGCCCCCUGGACAAAGACUGACCCUCAGGUGCGAAAGCGUGGGGAGCAAACAGGAUUAGAUACCCGAGUAGUC